ensembl:lncRNA
CGCAGUUUAUAACUCCCAUCUGUACAAUUUUUUCCAGAAUUAAAGAUACAUAAGACACAGGCAAAAGCUAAUUAGUACUGGAAAAAAGGAAGGAUACCAUCUUAACAAGCAACCAUUAGCUAAGAAGGCCAGAUCUAAUGUAUAUUGAACUGGAUAUGUUAGAAAAGGAAUGGGGCUUCUUAAAAUCCUGACCUUCAUUAAAAAGCAGUAUGGUGGUGUGUGAAAAAAUCUUACCAAGAUCUCAUAAAUAUUGUCAAAUUGAGAUGAGGGCAGAUGGAGUCCAGUAAAGAGCAAAAGGAAAGAUCCUGGCUAAUGAGCAUACUAGUUACAACAGCAUUGACCAGGAAAUGUCAUGGCAAAUUAGAGCAACAGCAGAUUGAAGUCUCAUCUUAUUCUAUCACAUAUUAUGCAAAGCCAAAGAAUCUAGCAAAGCUGACAGUCAGCCUUCACCGGAGAAGAAUAAAGCUUUAAAACUGCAGGGCAAGGAAGCCAAAACCUCUUGGAUGGUGUGCUCAGAGACUGGAAUAUAAAGCCUGAGAUCCUGUGCUGCAGCUUCUGCCAGCCUUUAGUUCAUGCCCUGCUGUCAACCGACCUGUGUCUAUGCUCAGAUCUCCACAGCCGGGCAGGAGCAGAACAAUGCUGACAGACUGGCCGUGCCCCAAGUCUUUGUUGGUAAGAAUCCCGUCUCACCAUUUGGUCUCUCUCUUUGGGCUGUGGGAAGCUCCAAAACAUCCUGCCUUCUUUGGCCC